CACCAGGCAAGAUGUCGUUAGCACCCAGCUACAGGGAAACUAAACGCCGAAGGUAAACGGCUCCCACGCGGCCCCAUUAAAGUGGCCGACAGCGGGGCCAUAACAACUCCACUAGCCUAAACAUGGAGAACCCCCUAUGGCACAUGGAAGCAGAGUUGGGAAGACAAUCCUGAUCAAUGACCGCAGACAGGACAGAAAAACGGUACCUGCACUUUGUCUCUCCACUCACACAGCAAAGGCAACCCCCAGAUGAGGGCUCAAUUACUGCUCCACCACAGCACGCUUAACCAGCGCUCCGUAUCACCAGGGCCAGAGACUAAACAAGGGGGAUUACCCAGAGACUGCAUACCCAAGCAUCGACCCUAAUAUAACGCAGCCCGCACCCGAACACAGCGGCUUGAAUGGUACCGCGCUCACAUACACCAGACAACCAGGAGACCAGUCAAUCCGCAACCAUGGUGCUCUCUGGCAGGACUUUGGAACUCAGAGGACCUUUUCAUAGGGACUAUCCCCAUGCAUGGGAAUAAAUUGCCUUCCAACAUCACCCGUAUAACCAGACCCCAACAUCCCAAGAUGACUGGCACCUAAGGUACACAUCACGGAACCCUCUGACAGGCUCAAAAGUGGUUACUGCGGCUGCAUUUUAUAAUUAAAAAGACUGUAAAGCCAUCCAUGUCAUAAUCACCGUUCUAGGAAAUGCUAGUUGGUAUUUAUGCCUGAUGCUGUCAAUAACAUAGCAUGCUCUGCUUUGCCAGGUGGUAUAUUACUUUACUUAAACAGUUGAUUCAGUUAAACUUGUUACCUUAUUAUUUUAUCAUAUGUCAGUAAGCCAAUCUUUAUUUACACCUACAUUUGUUACCUUCCCUGACACAUAAGAUUAAAGCUCAGAAAAGCAUACAAACUACUUAUAAGCAUCGCCCUUGAGAGUAGCACUCAGUACUGUGUUCACUUACCUAAUGUUUUCUAAUCGAUCGUAGUCAGCUGAAUAUUAUCAAUGGAAACAUAUGAAUAGCAUGUCUAUAACGUAACAUUUUAAAAAAUGUGCCGACAUCUCAAAGUCACUAAUGUACAAAUACUGCGUGCAUAUCUCCUAAUUCUGCCGUUGUGGCAUAGUCAAAUGUUCU